rnacentral:lncRNA from 1 species
CGUUUUUAUUAUUAUUAAUUACUUUUUUUUUUCGUUUUUUUUUUUAAAUCAACAUGAUAAAUAUUAAAACACCUUACAUUACGCAUAUAAUAUAUAAUCAUUUAUGUGUACAACAUUUACAAUAUCGAGAAAUCAUCAUGUCCGUUACAAUUAAAAACGUUUAAUACACAAUACAAUAUAGUUCACAGUACACAACGACGGUCGUCCGUAAAUUAUAAUAUCGUACCGCGUAACACUUUGGUUUUUUAGCUAAAACAUAAUUAUUUACAAAAUACGAUUUAAUAAUAAUUACGCAGGUACGUGCCCGCAUAAUAUUGUUUUAAGUACCUACACACACACACACACACACACACACAUGUAUAGAAUAUGAUAAAUUAUAAUAUUACCUUUGUUUUUUUAUAUGUAUAUAUAUAUAUAUGUAUUAUAAUUAUCUAAAACGCGGUACAAAGUUUACGUUGUAAUGUUUCAGUGAUGCGACGCGUAGGUAGCAAUAGGUACUAAAUUAAAUUAACAGUAUACUACACGGUUAAAUUGGAAGUGAUACGAUGUUGUUACAUUAAUAAUAUUUCAAUAAUUAUACGCCUGCCGGACCGGGAAUUGGGCGGUGGUGGUGGCGGUGGGGGGUGGGGAAGGAAUUUUUUUUGUUUUGUUUUUACAACGCGACUUACAAAAUAUUAAUUUAAUGUUACGCAUAAGAAUCACAGACAUAUAUUAUACAACGUUAUAAUCUAACAAUAGAAAUAUAUUUAUUUAUUUAUUUAUUCAUUUAUUUUAUUUUAUUUUUUUUUUUUUUUUUUUUUUUUUAUAUAAUAAUAAUAUACGUUAAUAAACGUAAACGAAAAAAAAAAACGAAUAAUAAUACGCAUAGCUACUUAAUGUUACAAUAAUAAUUUGUUCGCCCUCCGGAUGGUUUUCGCGAUAGUAUUACGCGCGAACGGGGCGUCGUCGGUGGCGGGCGCACGUUUGACAAGGGGGCGAAAACAGUCGGUGAUGUAAUUACACCAGCGCUCGGGACUCGUUGCGCGCGGAGUUCCGCAAAAAGGCGCUUGGAAACGGCGAAGAAAAAAAAAACACACGGAAAACUAUUUGAAAAAAUACGAUUAUGUUCUCAUAACGAUCUUUCGUAGCGAUUGUUUUCCCCGUGGGGGCUUUUUCGCGUGUUUUUUUUUUUGUUUUCUCCCGCCGUAUUCAAGCGCCGCAGGUCCCGAGCCCCGAACAUUACCGGUAUAACGUAUCCAAACGUCCCGGGACCUUUGCGCGCGGUUCGCUCAACGGUGUCGCCGACGGUUUCGCGCGUAGUACCGACGCAUGCUAAUAUUAUUGUCACGUAGGAACUGUCGGUACGCUGCGGUCGAUUAAUUUGACGGACAAAACCGCGUUGGGGCGAAAAGGCACUGGAGUUUCGGCCCCACACGGCCGUUCGGAACGUCGCGUUCAACUGGACCGGGCGCGUCGGAACCGUCUCCCCGGUGUCCGUCGCCGGGGACGCGCGACGGGCGGCGGCGUUUCUCCGAACGCGUUUACCGGUUUACCGCGUUUUCGGCCGCCGGUUCGGAAAUAUCGGUUCUGUUUGCGCGUUUCACCCAACUGUCGGCCGACAUCGAUGUACGCGGCGGCGGGCGUUGCGCGACCGCGUCCUUGGCGACGUUAUUGGGUUUCUGGGCGCGAAACGCGUUCGCGUGAUGCGUUUCGGCGACAUCAAUCUGCGCGACACCGAAUAUCCCGCGCGCCAAUUGUUUUCAAGGAUUUCCGAGGAGAGGAGAGAGAGAAAAAAGAACAACGAGUAAAAUAAAAAAAAAAAAAAAAAAAAAAAAAAUGAUUUCCCCCUCCACGGCCCGCCUUCCCCGUUUGGCGAAACCGCGCGCGCGCGCACAAAUUACGGCGGGACGACAAUACUGUACGCCGUGUCGUUACUAAACGACGACGACAAAUAAAAAAUAUAUAAUGUGUACCGCGUCUCGCAUAUGAAAAAAAAAAAAAAAACAAAAAAAAAAACAUUUUUUUUUAUUUUUUUUUUUUUCAGUCAUUUUUCGACCGGUUUGUUAAAAUGAUGUUUGAAUAAAAUUUCGUAAUGCCGUUUUUCGACGGUACGCGCGGCAUAGUUUUUUUUAAUAACAACAAUAUCGGGAAGUGCCCGCGCGCACAUUAUCUCAUUGACGAAAAUUAAAAUAAUAAUAAAAAGUAACAAAAAAAAAAAAAAAAGAAAAAAAAAAAAAACCCGCCGCCGAAAAACCUGUUCGCG